rnacentral:piRNA from 1 species
UGACUACACAGCUGUGCCUCAGGCUU